GGUAGCGUGAUUCUUGUUUUCUUAAUUAGAAAUCUGUUCAAAGAAUGAUAUGGAGAGAAUCUAUUGUUUUCAUUCAUAGUGAAUUUAAAAUGUUAGUGAAAAUUCUGACAAGAUUAUAAAAGACGAGAAGACCCCAUAAAACUUAAUUUGAUGUAGUAUUCUCUCUAGCUUAAAAUUUAAAUGGGGACUUUAGAGUUAACUAAUAACUUAAAGACCUAUUAUUAUAAUAUUUGAGAAGCUACUUUGGGGAUAACAGGGUAAAAUAUUUAGAGAGUUCCUAUCGAUAAAUAUGA
rnacentral:rRNA from 1 species